CUGUUUCACAGUUUUCACUUUGAAGAGAGACCUUCUGUAAAGUAAAUUGCUGCAUGCAGUACUAAUCUUCACAUCUUUUUACAAAUGCACCAUGCUGUAAGGCAUCAGAUCAGCAAGAGAAAACAAGGUAUCUGAAAACCGCAAAAAUAUCUUGCAAACAAGACUGCAGACAUUUCAAGAGAAAGCAGAAGCAAAAAGAAUCUUCAUACUGACCUCAGAAGAUGGAUCGAUCACAUUUUUGUAAGGCAAUUCAGACAUUUCUGAGUAGUUCUCCUGUUCUCAGCACUGUCCCAUCGAGUAUUUUCCUAUAUGGAGUGGAGGAGUUAAUGGAACUAAAGCUUUCAUGCCCCUGCAGACAUGAGAUGAGUAAACGUCUAAUAACCUCCAUCUUUGUUGGACCUCCUGUUUUAUUAUUUGCUAUAGUGUUCAUUUUGUUAAAUCCCUUAAGAUAUGUAUGCAAUGAGGAUGGUGAGAUCAAAGGUUGGCAGACGUUCUUGAAAGAUUUUGGACAUUGUCUGAUUCUUCCUAUUAUUUGGGUCAUCAUCUUGUUACUUGAUGGUGAUUAUCUAGCUUGUUACUGGACAAACUGGGAAGGAAAACAUGUUUUUGAUAAAGAGAUUAAAAAAAAUGUGGUGUCAACCCACUGAUCUGGUCAGUGCAAGAAAUGAGAGUGAAAUACAACAUGAAUAUCAGAUGUUUAUCAGCGAAUCUCAGUUUAGAGGUUAUUUACUGCUUGGUGCCUUCGGUUUAGUAAUCAUUUUAAUUGGGGCUUUGUCUAACUGCUGCAACAAAUCAACUUCACAGACCAAUGAAGCUAAUGCAGGACAGGGAAGUGGAAAUAAUAAGCCUAAAACUGGGGCACAAGCUACGGACUCAGAAAUGAAAAACUUUCUCCCCGAAAAUGCACAAGCAACUGGAUAGACUCUUCUGUAAAAAUGGGACUGAACUUCAUAUGAUCUGUUUUAUGUUUUGUUGUUAAGUGUGUGAGAUUCUGAAUGAAAUUAAAAGUACAUACUGUCACAAAACUUAAAAACGUAUAAUUACAGGUAAACACAAAACCGUAAAUUUUAAUCCAGUUUUGAUUUCUCCUGCUAGUUUCAAGUUUUUUUUAAAUGUUUGUAUUUUUGAGGUUCUGCAAAUGUGACUCAGUGUUGUAAAUGAUUGUUCCAGUAGUGCUGUGUUUAUCUCGUUCCUGCUAUAUAAUGCCUGUAAACUUAUAGACUAGAAUGGGAUGCAUGAGGGGGGGUUAAGUUAAUUAUUAACACAGUUAAUUAUUAACAUCAAUUAAACAUCAAAACUUCUUAUACGCCAUAUUCCUAUAGACUACACAGACAGAGAAGUGUUUAUGAAUGAUCUUAUAGCUAUAUUUUACACAUUAAAGAAAAACUCAUGCACUCAACAGUUACAUCUGCGAUUGGCUGUAAUGAUCAACACUGCAAAAACAGUGAAUAAAAAGUAACCUUUGAUGCCAAAUGUCAAUAAUUAUUUAUGUCAAUAGUGUGCCCCCUCAGUUUCAAUUGGCAUGAUACCAUGCAUGUUUUGAUCUAUUCUUAUAGCUAGUAAUUGUAUGCACAUAAAUGCUUUUUUGCCCAAAUGUAUUUGCUCAAACUCGAUAAUUAAAACAGUUUAAAGACA